rnacentral:rRNA from 1 species
UGGGGAAUUUUACGCAAUGGGGGAAACCCUGACGUAGCGACACCGCGUGAGCGAAGAAGCCCUUUGGGGUGUAAAGCUCUGUCAGCUGGAACGAAAACAAUGACGGUACCAGCAGAGGAAGCAUCGGCUAACUACGUGCCAGCAGCCGCGGUAAGACGUAGGAUGCGAGCGUUGUCCGGAUUUAUUGGGCGUAAAGAGUUCGUAGGUGGUUUGUUAAGUUUGGUGUUAAAGAUCGGGGCUCAACCCUGGGACUGCACUGAAUACUGGCAGACUCGAGUGUGGUAGAGGCUAGUGGAAUUCCCAGUGUAGCGGUGAAAUGCGUAGAUAUUGGGAAGAACACCGGUGGCGUAGGCGACUAGCUGGGCCAUAACUGACGCUGAGGAACGAAAGCCAGGGGAGCGAAUGGGAUUAGAUACCCCAGUAGUCCUGGCCGUAAACGAUGGAUACUAGGCGUAUCGGGUAUCGACCCCUGAUGUGCCGCAGCUAACGCGAUAAGUAUCCCGCCUGAGUAGUACGGCCGCAAGGUUG